rnacentral:rRNA from 1 species
UACGGAGGAUCCAAGCGUUAUCCGGAUUUAUUGGGUUUAAAGGGUGCGUAGGCGGUUUUUUAAGUUAGAGGUGAAAUCCCGGGGCUCAACUCCGGAACUGCCUCUGAUACUGGAAGGCUAGAGAUUGAUUGCUGUGGGCGGAAUGUGUAGUGUAGCGGUGAAAUGCUUAGAUAUUACACAGAACACCGAUUGCGAAGGCAGCUCACAAAGUCAUAUCUGACGCUGAGGCACGAAAGCGUGGGGAGCAAACAGG